GCAGGCUCUUCUCAAGCUUUCUCAAUCCUGAGUUCAGGUUUUGGCGGGUAUACCUGGACAUCGGGGUUUCACUGGCCUGAUCUUUCCUCUCUGCAUUGGGUAGACCACUGGGCUGAAGCUUCGCUGGCCUGAUCUUUCCUAGCUGCAUUGGGUAGACUAUGCCAAAGCAACACAAAUAGACCGGGAUGGCCCGGAUCUAACCCCAUCGCGGGCUUUGAGUUUGACACCCCUGGACUACAAUGAUGUGG